GUCGAUUGAGCCAUGUCUGUCUGUCCGUCCGUCCGUCUUGUUGAGCGCCUGGAUCUCAGAGACCAUAAAAGCUAGAGACACCAAAUUUUACAUCCAGACUUCUGUAUGCUCACACUGUUACAAGUGUACUUUAAAAAUGAGCCACGCCCCCUUCCGCCCUCGCAAAAAGCCGAAAACGUCCCAAAUCAACAAUUUUGAAGAUAAAAGAAAAC
rnacentral:lncRNA from 1 species